CACUCGUACGCCUCAGACCUGUACGCGCUGGGGUGCGUGUUGUACGAGUGCUGCGUCGGGAAGCCCCCGUUCGUGUCCAACUCGCUGACGGAGCUGAUGGAGAUGAUCCUGAACGACGAUCCACCGCCGCUUUUCAACGGCGAACGCGCUCGCGAGGUCGGCGAGUCUCCGGCCGGCGGCGGAUCCGCGGUCGGACCCGACCCGCCCACCCCCGCGCUCGCCGACCUCAUUACCGGCCUGCUCGAGAAGGACCCGGCGCGAAGGCUGGACUGGAACGCGGUGUUGCGCCACCCGUUCUGGCGCGAGUCCGGGACCGGGUCGUGCGCGGAGG
rnacentral:lncRNA from 1 species